GGGCGAGCGGGAGAGGGAGCUGGGGCUGCCUGCUCCCUGCCUCGGCCGGCAGCCUGGACGCUUCUGCAGUUAGCUUUCUGCCGGGGUGAGGGAGGUAAUGGCCCAGAAGGCUUGACCUCCCUCCACCAGUUCCUAGUGCCCGGACACCUUGGGAUGCGUUCUUGCAAAGAUUAGGCAAACUGCGCCCUGGCCGACCAAGUGGAGUGGGGUGAGAGGGCAGAGGAGCCCUGGCGGACAGCGGAGGCAGGGCAGACUGGUCAUUCUUGUAUCAGAAGGCUGACCAAGUUUCGGGUGACAUGGCCCAGGGGAAUAAUUAUGGGCAGACCAGCAAUGGGGUGGCAGAUGAAUCACCCAACAUGCUGGUGUACAGAAAGUCUUGCAGGCCUUGAGAGGAAAGUGGUGGGAACGCAAAGGGAGGCAGAUGACAGCAUUGGAGGACUUGAUGCCUUUGAGGAGCUCCUGGUCUGGUCUGUCUCACUGGUGAUCUGCUUUGGAGUGGCUUUCUAA
rnacentral:lncRNA from 1 species